rnacentral:lncRNA from 1 species
GUUAAAAUAAAUACAAAUUAUAUACAAUACAGUUAUUGCUAUCUGAAAUGUUACUGUCUUUUUUGAAAAUCUAUUAAUAAGAAUUGUUUUAGUUAAUUAAUGGAAAACUGUUUCUACAUCCAAUCUCCCCAUGCGAAUUUCAAUGACAGAUUUCCCUUUAUAAAUGCUUAAGAUGUUGACAUCUAUGCAGGGAUCUCCAUGGCCUGUUAAACGAUGGCGCCCCGCCAUCGUUCAAAUGUCUUGCGCCAUCGUCAAAUGACUCGCUCCAUCGUUCAAUUUUCUUCCACCAUCAUUCAAAACUGUGAUCGUUUUUAUAGCCUGACGCCAUUUUUUUAGCAAUAAUAAUCAAAUGCAUGUAAUUGCAUAACCCUCAGGCUUUUUUUUAGUUCUAACGCCUGAGGGAUAUCCGGAUUAAGAUCGCUAAUUGUACCUGAGCUUGCACAGGUAGAUCAACAAACCAGACAGGAGAAUAUUAUCUGAAGAUAGACGAUUCAUUUGUCGAAUUAUUUAACUAAGUUUUCGCAAAUGCUUAUGAUAAUUCAGAUUAAAUAAAUAAAUUAAUAAUCCAGUUACAAAGUUUAACAAGUAGAACACGUGCUUUUAUUUUGACUUAUGCAAUCAGCAUCCCCCUUUUUAAGAAGUACAAAAUAAGACGUAAAACAGUU